GUGUUGUUUAUCGUUGAUUGUUGGAGUGGUCGAUUUGCUCUCAAAUUCCAACAAUUUUUUAAGAGCAAAUCGACCACUCCAACAAUCAACAAUAAACAACACAAU
rnacentral:pre_miRNA from 1 species